rnacentral:rRNA from 2 species
CGUUGGGAGCUCUCCCAUAUGGUCGACCUGCAGGCGGCCGCGAAUUCACUAGUGAUUAGAGUUUGAUCAUGGCUCAGAAUGAACGCUGGCGGCAGGCCUAACACAUGCAAGUCGAGCGGAGUGAUGGUGCUUGCACUAUCACUUAGCGGCGGACGGGUGAGUAAUGCUUAGGAAUCUGCCUAUUAGUGGGGGACAACAUUUCGAAAGGAAUGCUAAUACCGCAUACGUCCUACGGGAGAAAGCAGGGGAUCUUCGGACCUUGCGCUAAUAGAUGAGCCUAAGUCGGAUUAGCUAGUUGGUGGGGUAAAGGCCUACCAAGGCGACGAUCUGUAGCGGGUCUGAGAGGAUGAUCCGCCACACUGGGACUGAGACACGGCCCAGACUCCUACGGGAGGCAGCAGUGGGGAAUAUUGGACAAUGGGCGCAAGCCUGAUCCAGCCAUGCCGCGUGUGUGAAGAAGGCCUUAUGGUUGUAAAGCACUUUAAGCGAGGAGGAGGCUACUGAAGUUAAUACCUUCAGAUAGUGGACGUUACUCGCAGAAUAAGCACCGGCUAACUCUGUGCCAGCAGCCGCGGUAAUACAGAGGGUGCAAGCGUUAAUCGGAUUUACUGGGCGUAAAGCGCGCGUAGGCGGCUAAUUAAGUCAAAUGUGAAAUCCCCGAGCUUAACUUGGGAAUUGCAUUCGAUACUGGUUAGCUAGAGUGUGGGAGAGGAUGGUAGAAUUCCAGGUGUAGCGGUGAAAUGCGUAGAGAUCUGGAGGAAUACCGAUGGCGAAGGCAGCCAUCUGGCCUAACACUGACGCUGAGGUGCGAAAGCAUGGGGAGCAAACAGGAUUAGAUACCCUGGUAGUCCAUGCCGUAAACGGUGUCUACUAGCCGUUGGGGCCUUUGAGGCUUUAGUGGCGCAGCUAACGCGAUAAGUAGACCGCCUGGGGAG